rnacentral:rRNA from 1 species
UAGGGAAUCUUCCGCAAUGGACGAAAGUCUGACGGAGCAACGCCGCGUGAGUGAAGAAGGAUUUCGGUUCGUAAAACUCUGUUGUUAGGGAAGAAAAAAUGUAUAGUAACUAUAUACAAAAGAGACGGUACCUAACCAGAAAGCCACGGCUAACUACGUGCCAGCAGCCGCGGUAAUACGUAGGUGGCAAGCGUUGUCCGGAAUUAUUGGGCGUAAAGCGCGCGCAGGUGGUUUAGAAAGUCUGAUGUGAAAGCCCACGGCUCAACCGUGGAGGGUCAUUGGAAACUAAUAAACUUGAGUGCAGGAGAGAAAAGUGGAAUUCCUAGUGUAGCGGUGAAAUGCGUAGAGAUUAGGAGGAACACCGGUGGCGAAAGCGGCUUUUUGGCCUGCAACUGACACUGAGGCGUGAAAGCGUGGGGAGCAAACAGG